UCACGUCUUACGACGGCAGUUUCAUUAGAGUUCCCAGCUUGACCUGAUGGCAACUAAUGAUGGGGGUUGCGCUCGUUGCGGGACUUAACCCAACACCUCACGGCACGAGCUGACGACAGCCAUGCAGCACCUGUGUUCCGGGCUCCGAAGAGAAGGUCACAUCUCUGCGACCGGUCCCGGACAUGUCAAGGGCUGGUAAGGUUCUGCGCGUUGCGUCGAAUUAAUCCACAUGCUCCGCUGCUUGUGCGGGUCCCCGUCAAUUCCUUUGAGUUUUAGCCUUGCGGCCGUACUCCCCAGGCGGGGCACUUAAUGCGUUAGCUCCGGCACGGGAGGAGUCGUCACCUCCCACACCUAGUGCCCAUCGUUUACGGCGUGGACUAC
rnacentral:misc_RNA from 1 species